rnacentral:rRNA from 1 species
GAUGAACGCUAGCGGCAGGCUUAAUACAUGCAAGUCGUGGGGCAGCAUGAAUGUAGCAAUACAUUUGAUGGCGACCGGCAAACGGGUGCGGAACACGUACACAACCUUCCUAUAAGUGGGGGAUAGCCCAGAGAAAUUUGGAUUAAUACCCCGUAACAUAGCGAUGUGGCAUCACAUUGCUAUUAUAGAUUUUUCGCUUGUUGAUGGGUGUGCGGCUGAUUAGAUAGUUGGCGGGGUAACGGCCCACCAAGUCUACGAUCAGUAGCUGAUGUGAGAGCAUGAUCAGCCACACGGGCACUGAGACACGGGCCCGACUCCUACGGGAGGCAGCAGUAAGGAAUAUUGGACAAUGGACGCAAGUCUGAUCCAGCCAUGCCGCGUGAAGGAUUAAGGUCCUCUGGAUUGUAAACUUCUUUUAUAAGGGGCGAAAAAAGGCUUUUCUAAGUCGUCUGACGGUACCUUAUGAAUAAGCACCGGCUAACUCCGUGCCAGCCGCCGCCGUAAUAC